AUUGAACGCUGGCGGCAUGCCUUACACAUGCAAGUCGAACGGUAACAGGCCGCAAGGUGCUGACGAGUGGCGAACGGGUGAGUAAUGCAUCGGAACGUGCCCAGUCGUGGGGGAUAACUGCUCGAAAGAGCAGCUAAUACCGCAUACGACCUGAGGGUGAAAGCGGGGGACCGUAAGGCCUCGCGCGAUUGGAGCGGGCGAUGUAAGGUUAGCUAGUUGGUGGGGUAAAGGCCUACCAAGGCAACGAUCUGUAGUUGGUCUGAGAGGACGACCAGCCACACUGGGACUGAGACACGGCCCAGACUCCUACGGGAGGCAGCAGUGGGGAAUCUUGGACAAUGGGCGCAAGCCUGAUCCAGCAAUGCCGCGUGCAGGAAGAAGGCCUUCGGGUUGUAAACUGCUUUUGUCAGGGAAGAAAUCUUCUGGGCUAAUACCCCGGGAGGAUGACGGUACCUGAAGAAUAAGCACCGGCUAACUACGUGCCAGCCGCCGCCGUAAUAC
rnacentral:rRNA from 1 species